CCUGGUAAAUGAGAGUGAUUAAGUUGAGAGCUAAAGAGUGAAUUUUGGAGAAAAGCAAUAGUUGUGACUCACUCACUUUCUAAACUUUUACACAUAGUCAUUUACGGUAGUUGUUUUCUUAGCAAUAUUUCUUUAUAAGUCUCCCCCUUUCUGCAGUCCUAAUUACGGUUAGCACUUUCAUCGUUAUCCUAAUUUAUGCAGUUAAAAGACUGUCACAAUGAAACAUCUCCCAAUUGCUCUUAUACCCUGAGAGACUGAAUCAGAAGAUCAGAUCGAAGAAGUUACUUGAGCAAAAGAUCAGCACACAGUACUCUUCAACUAUUUGGCAGGCCUCUUCUCCCUGGGAUGCUGGUGGAUUUAAAUGAUUCAAGAUAUGGACUCAAAAGACCUUAUUGAAAGCAAAGACAAGACUCACUGAGGCCAAGUUUGCUAUUAAAGGAUGAACUCUGCUUCUUUGGGUAUACGUGUGCAUGUGCUAAGUGUGGGGGCAGGGAUUGAUGGAGUCAACGAAAUAUGCCCCAUCUGCACCUUAGACAGGAAAAAGAGAGAAAUGGGUGAAUUCCAAUUUUCAACUUGAAUCAAGAAGUAUGUGUGGUAAACAGUAGUUUCAUCUCCAAGAAAUGUUAGAUGAAUUCAGAAAAUUCUUUUCUGCUGAAAUGAGCCAUAUAAAUGCACAAAAUUCCUGGCAGACUAAGCUCACAUUGUGGAUGAUGAACCAAAUGUUGCCAUGUCUGGCAAUAUAGUUUUACAUCACUACUUUGAUACUUUUCAAUAGUUCACAAGCUGCAAUCCUUCUAACAUUCACUUCUAUGAGAAAACCUCAGGGUCCUCGGUGAAGGACCACAUGAUCAUGCUUCUUCAGCACAAGCUCAGGGAUGUGUAACUUGAAAAUGUCUGCAUAGGAGAAGCCAUGCUGGUGUGACAAAGGCACUGCUUGGACUUAACUCCACGGCUGACUUGGGACCUUAGAGCGAGGUGAUGACUUACUACAUGUGUUCUCUCCAGGACUAAAUAAUUUUCUUUUGAGGACUGUGCCUGUGGAACAUCUGGUCACAACAGAAACAUGGCCAGGAGGCUGAAAGGAAGCUGAAUAAAAGCUGAAGAUGAGGAAGCCAAAGCACAGAGCAGUAAAAUAACAGGCUGGAGUGACUGGAGGAGCUGGCUGCCUAGGUCUGAGCACUUCUGUCAUGAUAGGAACCCACCUCCACUGAUGCCAUCAUUGGAUUCCAGGAGUGCAGCUUGCGCCGCUCAUGGCACCCCAUAAAGGGGCUCACCCCCAGUAAAGAUGUUUCUGUUACAUGGAUUUGGGCCAUUGGAACAGAGAAAAUGAAUGACAACAGAAGAAACUGAUGCACGACUGUCAUCAAGUGAAGCUGAGAUCUGCUGUACAAUCAGGGCUUGUCCUUAGAACAGAGUAGCCCCAACAUAAUAGGAAGCUUACUCUACAGACAUAGAUGCAAGCAGUGGAAAAAAGAAGUUUCAGAAUAUGCAUUCAACCUCUUUUGGCCCUCUGUGGGAACAAGCAAAGAAUGGGGUCAUUAAAGUCCAAGAGCCCUGUGCACAGAGCCCACCUGCAACUGUGCUGUCAUGCCAGCCUGCUUGCCUGCUGUAUUGACUCUCUUGGCCCUUAACUUCAAGGCCAAACUAGGCCACCAGUAUACAAAGAUUGGUAUGUCCAGCUUUUGCUCCUUCUGGCCAGCCUUCCUGACCAAGGGCAACCCCAGGGCUACCACCAGGUGAUUCACCAGAAUUCACAAGUUGUCACUACUAACCCAGGCACCUUCCACAGAUGUCAGUACCAGCUUCUUCAGCAAAUGAGGAGGGGACUAUAAAACCCCAGGAGUUUGAAUAACUUGGAAAUUGACAAAAAGAUAAAAUCACCCCUCAUCAGAGAUGAUGUCUAGAAGAGAGGAAGCUCUUAACGGAUUCAGGAAGAAAGUGCGUCUACCUCUCCACAUGGCCAGUGGAGGUGUCCCAGUUUGAUUAAACAGAUGGAAUUCCACGCAGUGGAAAGUUGUGAAGGCGGACACCAAUAGCACAUGCAUCACCACCAGUGAACAAAGCGGUGGGAAGUAACUGAAGAGGAAGGUGGCAGGAUGGUUUUUGGCUUCUAACCUUGAAACAACAAUCUCUGCUGUGUGCAGCCUUAAUAUUCAAAAUCCAGGUUCUUACCCCAGGAAUAAUGGCUUGUUUCCACUUGUGAAAUGCUGAAGUUCCUAACCAUCAGAGAAAGGAGAGGGUGAUUGCCUGCAAAACAACUCAUACACUCCCUGAACAUUUCUCUCAAGCAGUAAUUAUUUUGUGAAUGUGAAGAGUGCACUGGGAAC